rnacentral:rRNA from 1 species
CACUCCUACGGGAGGCAGCAGUGGGGAAUUUUGGACAAUGGGCGAAAGCCUGAUCCAGCAAUGCCGCGUGUGUGAAGAAGGCCUUCGGGUUGUAAAGCACUUUUGUCCGGAAAGAAAUCCUUGGCUCUAAUACAGUCGGGGGAUGACGGUACCGGAAGAAUAAGCACCGGCUAACUACGUGCCAGCAGCCGCGGUAAUACGUAGGGUGCGAGCGUUAAUCGGAAUUACUGGGCGUAAAGCGUGCGCAGGCGGUUUGCUAAGACCGAUGUGAAAUCCCCGGGCUCAACCUGGGAACUGCAUUGGUGACUGGCAGGCUAGAGUAUGGCAGAGGGGGGUAGAAUUCCACGUGUAGCAGUGAAAUGCGUAGAGAUGUGGAGGAAUACCGAUGGCGAAGGCAGCCCCCUGGGCCAAUACUGACGCUCAUGCACGAAAGCGUGGGGAGCAAACAGGAUUAGAUACCCCAGUAGUCCCA